rnacentral:rRNA from 1 species
ACCCGCUGAACUUAAGCAUAUCAAUAAGCGGAGGAAAAGAAACCAACAGGGAUUGCCUUAGUAACUGCGAGUGAAGCGGCAAAAGCUCAAAUUUGAAAUCUGGUGCCUUCGGCGCCCGAGUUGUAAUUUGGAGAGACAUCUUCGGAGUAGACGCCGUCCUAAGUUCCUUGGAACAGGACGUCACAGAGGGUGAGAAUCCCGUGCCUGGAUGGCUGUUCUACUUCAUGUGAAGUGUCUUCGACGAGUCGAGUUGUUUGGGAAUGCAGCUCAAAAUGGGAGGUAAAUUUCUUCUAAAGCUAAAUAUUGGCGAGAGACCGAUAGCGCACAAGUAGAGUGAUCGAAAGAUGAAAAGCACUUUGAAAAGAGAGUUAAAAAGUACGUGAAAUUGUUGAAAGGGAAGCGCUUGAGACCAGACUCGACCAGUGGUGAUCAGCGGUGCCUCUGUGCCGUGCACUUGCCAUUGGUUGGGCCAGCAUCGGUUUGGACGGCGGGAUAAAGACCUAAGGAAUGUGGCUCCCUCCGGGGAGUGUUAUAGCCUUGAGUGCAAUGCCGCCAGUCUGGACCGAGGACCGCGCUUCGGCUAGGAUGCUGGCGUAAUGGUCUU